ensembl:lncRNA
GUUCGUUAUCUAUACAGACCAUAAAAACCUUGAAUACCUGACGACGGCCAAACAUCUCAUGCCCCGCCAGACCCGCUGGCCCUGUUAUUCUCCAGGUUCCAGUUUACCUGAUCAUAUAGUCCAGGAGCAAAGAACACUAUGGCCGAUGCUCUGUCACAAAUCCACUGCCCUGAGAGCCGAGCGGACCACAGAGAUUAUAUCCUGAACCUGCUGUAUUGAUAGCGCCAUAGGGUGGACUCUGGACCAGGCCUUAGCACGCUUCCCCAGGUCACGAAUCCCGGCCGCAUGUGCCCCCAGCAAGCAAUUUGUCCUGAAGCGAUACCGACUGGAGCUCGUCACCUGGGCCCACACGGCACUAGCGACGGGCCACCCGGGAAUGCAUCACACCCACCGACUACUGGCCGAGAAAUACUGGUGGCCCCACGUGUCUAGGGAAGUAUAGCGCGUCGUAUCCUCGUGCUCCACAUGCGCCCAGGCUAAGGUACCGCAUACUCUCCCAGCCAUUAAGCUGGUACCUAUCCCCGUACGGCCAUGGUCCUACUUGGCCCUAGACUUCAUCACUGACUUGCCGGAGUUGCAGGGGGAAACCGCAGUACUAGUGAUCAUCGAUUGUUUUUCAAAGUCUCUGCGCCUCAUUCCACUGCCCGCCAUCCCGUCUGCCUUUACCACGGCCGAACUGCUAUUCCAACAUAUAGGUAGAACGGGCUAACCAAGAAGUUGCUAGAUUCUUCCAAACAUUUUGUGCCACCAACCCGGAGGACUGGGGCCAAUUCCUCCCAUGGGCGGAGUACGCACAGAACCCCUUGCAGUGCUGGAUCCUGUCCCAGGACAUUCUGGACCCAAACCUGCGCAGGGACUUCCAUGCCACUCACCCAACUAAACCGAGACCACAGAGGAGAGGGAGGCCUCGGAAGGAUUCGGCUCCCGGAGUUAAUCCUUUGUGGGGGGGCUCUGUCACGUCGCGGUGUACUCGCAACUACAGUUUCCAGAAUGCAGUGCCAACAACAUGGCCGACGAGAACUACACUUCCCGGCCACGCUCACGUUCGCCAGAGUACUGAGUGUAAACAGCUGUACUUCAUCUUAGGUUAUAAAAGGCCUUGUUAACUUCAGAACCUCGUGAAGUAAACGCUCAGCUGUCUUACCUUUGUCGUUCACCUAGCCUUUGUCUGCGUUUCGGAUUUCUACGUUUUUUUGGAUUUACUAUCUGUAUUUGGAUUAGGUUUCCCUGCCUAGCCCAGUCUGGAUUGUUCGCCCGACCUACUGCUAUUUUCCGUGUUUCAUCUUCCGCCUGAUCCUCGCACUCUAAUUCUGUUCGUCUGUGCUUGCCUCCAACCAGGUUAACGGAAGCAAAUGGCAAAACCCAG